rnacentral:rRNA from 1 species
GGCUGAAAUUACGCCUUCCAUGAAGCCGGAAUUGCUAGUAAUGGCAGGUCAGCAUACUGCCGUGAAUACGUUCCCGGGCCUUGUACACACCGCCCGUCACACCAUGAGAGUUGGAAAUACCCGAAGCCUGUGAGCUAACCGUAAGGAGGCAGCAGUCGAAGGUAGAGUCAAUGAUUGGGGUGAAGUCGUAACAAGGUAAC